GGAAAUGUUAAAAGUUCAUUUCUUUGAGGAGGCCUCAAUUUAAACCACAACCAACUGAAGAGAAAAAGGACAUAAUUGGCAACAGUGGUUAUAUUACCAAGACUUUGGCUGAAAUGUCAUAUUUAAGAAUAUACAUAAAAUGCAUGGCUUCAAGAAUUCCCAGCCUCACAGGGAAUGAGUAAAAAUUGUCAAUUCUUGGCAGGCCCAAGAACCUUAAGCCUUGGCUGGUGAGACCAAUAAAGGAUCAGCUCUCCAUGUAUGAAGAAUGUGCUUUGGUUGGCAGAUACCAGCAUUGCCUCUUCCAACGUAUGAAAUUUCUUCAAGGAAAUAAUCUGACUUUUUGCUACAUGUUAAUUUGAU